GUGGUGAGCAGGUCUCAUGGGCUUGCAGCCUGUUGGGCUUGAGAGAAUGAGCCCAGAUUUCAAAUGGAUCCUCUUUUUUGCUUGGCAUCCAGCUCUUGUGCUUGGAGCCAUGCUGCUACCACCCUCAUGGCAAAUAUCAAGGCCUGAUAUUUACAAGGGAAAGAAGAAGUGGAGCUGCUGAUGCAAUGGGAUGACCAGAAGCUGGAACACCACAUGGCUCAACAUGGGAAGACAUGGUUGGAAGUUAGCAGUCUCAUAAACACAGAACUGGAAGAAUUUGUCGAUGUGUGGAAACUGUGAGAUAAAAAAUGUCAUAAAAAAGGGAAAACUACUAUGAUUAAAUUGGAGGAAAAGAGCACUGUACAGUUCCUACAAACAGAAUACGUGCGUCUAUGCCUUUUCCCCAAGUUUUUGCACAGGUGAUGCUGGUAGGAUUUAAAAAAAAUUAUUUCACUAACUUACUUUUCUCAUAGCACCUUUCCUUUGUGUUCUUGCCAACUAUUUUCCUUUCUUUGCUUUUAGGCAAUACACUGUCCUCUUGGGAAGAAUAAACCAGAGCCAUUGCAUGCGAGUCUUACCCCUUAGGAUUUUGCUUUUCUUACAAAGCACUGCAAUGAUUUAAAAAAUAACAGUAAUGGUAAAAAUACCUGUAAUAACUCUUUUGUAAACUGUUGUCAUUUUUUCCUGUCAAUUACAGCCUGUGGUAACUUUACUUUAAAAUAGAAUGAAGGCAAAUGGUUCUGUGAAUAUGUUAGGUCACUGGUUUUCCUUUUCAUUUUCCAGUCAACAAAGAAGUGGAAAAAACUUCCUUAGAGCAGUCCCUCUCCCUCAAUGUGUUUCCCACAUAUCAGAGGAUAUUAUAGGAAACACUUAGCAGUCAUGCACUUGGAUAAGAAGAAGAUAUACAAAACACUGAGCAAGUAAGCCUGAAAACAAUAUAUGAAGCUUCUUGAGCAGUUACAGAUCCUAGCUGCAGAUAUAGCUGGAAAAUGACUGUCAGACGGAAUACAAUAAGGAGUUGCUGGAAAGGAGCCAUUGCUGUGCCUUGUUACAGAUUCAGAGCAAAAGUUUUCAAGGAGUAUUCAUCUGGCAUUCCUACAACUGCAGUGUGUGGCACUCCUGAAAAGUGUUUAGAGGAAGAGGUCCUCCAACUGCAGCUGUCACUUACCCCUGGUACAGUGUUAUGUCAAGCCUGCUGUGUGAAAGCCUCAGAGAGAUGCUCAUUUGGGGUCCCUGUUCAGCUGCCUUGUACCCUCUAG
rnacentral:lncRNA from 14 species